rnacentral:rRNA from 1 species
AUUGAACGCUGGCGGAAUGCUUUACACAUGCAAGUCGAACGGUAGAGGGGGCAACCCCUCGAGAGUGGCGAACGGGUGAGUAAUAUAUCGGAACGUGCCCAGUCGUGGGGGAUAACGUAGCGAAAGUUACGCUAAUACCGCAUACGAUCUAAGGAUGAAAGCGGGGGAUCGCAAGACCUCGCGCGAUUGGAGCGGCCGAUAUCAGAUUAGGUAGUUGGUGGGGUAAAGGCUCACCAAGCCAACGAUCGGUGGCUGGUCUGAGAGGACGACCAGCCACACUGGAACGGAUACACGGUCCAGACUCCUACGGGAGGCAGCAGUGGGGAAUUUUGGAAAAUGGACGCAAGUCUGAUCCAGCCAUUCCGCGUGCAGGAUGAAGGCCCUCGGGUUGUAAACUGCUUUUGUACGGAACGAAAAGGUCUCUCUUAAUACGGGGGACUCAUGACGGUACCGUAGGAAUAAGCACCGGCUAACUACGUGCCAGCAGCCGCCGUAA